UACGGAGGGUGCAAGCGUUAAUCGGAAUUACUGGGCGUAAGGCGUGCGUAGGCGGUUCGUUAAGUCUGUUGUGAAAGCCCCGGGCUCAACCUGGGAAUGGCAAUGGAUACUGGCGAGCUAGAGUGUGUCAGAGGAUGGUGGAAUUCCCGGUGUAGCGGUGAAAUGCGUAGAGAUCGGGAGGAACAUCAGUGGCGAAGGCGGCCAUCGUGGGACAACACUGACGCUGAGGCACGAAAGCGUGGGGAGCAAACAGG
rnacentral:rRNA from 1 species